rnacentral:rRNA from 1 species
AGAGUUUGAUCCUGGCUCAGGACGAACGCUGGCGGCGUGCCUAACACAUGCAAGUCGAACGGAACUGUUUUGAAAGAUUUCUUCGGAAUGAAUUUGAUUUAGUUUAGUGGCGGACGGGUGAGUAACGCGUGAGUAACCUGCCUUCAAGAGGGGGAUAACAUUCUGAAAAGAAUGCUAAUACCGCAUGACAUAUCGGAACCACAUGGUUUUGAUAUCAAAGAUUUUAUCGCUUGAAGAUGGACUCGCGUCCGAUUAGUUAGUUGGUGAGGUAACGGCUCACCAAGACCGCGAUCGGUAGCCGGACUGAGAGGUUGAACGGCCACAUUGGGACUGAGACACGGCCCAGACUCCUACGGGAGGCAGCAGUGGGGGAUAUUGCGCAAUGGGGGCAACCCUGACGCAGCAACGCCGCGUGAAGGAUGAAGGUUUUCGGAUUGUAAACUUCUUUUAUUAAGGACGAAAAACGACGGUACUUAAUGAAUAAGCUCCGGCUAACUACGUGCCAGCAGCCGCGGUAAUACGUAGGGAGCAAGCGUUGUCCGGAUUUACUGGGUGUAAAGGGUGCGUAGGCGGCUUUGCAAGUCAGAUGUGAAAUCUAUGGGCUCAACCCAUAAACUGCAUUUGAAACUGUAGAGCUUGAGUGAAGUAGAGGCAGGCGGAAUUCCCCGUGUAGCGGUGAAAUGCGUAGAGAUGGGGAGGAACACCAGUGGCGAAGGCGGCCUGCUGGGCUUUAACUGACGCUGAGGCACGAAAGCGUGGGUAGCAAACAGGAUUAGAUACCCUGGUAGUCCACGCUGUAAACGAUGAUUACUAGGUGUGGGGGGUCUGACCCCUUCCGUGCCGGAGUUAACACAAUAAGUAAUCCACCUGGGGAGUACGG